AAAUAUUUAGGGUUGCCAAUGUUUUGAUGGUUGUAUUUGUUUGCUCAAAACUUUUAUUAACUACAGGCCCGAGAAUAUUCAGAAUUAAAAAGUGUUUUGAAGUUUGAAUUUUAUGCUUGGUGCAGUUUAUUCAACAUACAUACAAGUUGAGCUGUUCACAUGAUCAAAUUUGCGCUGAUCGUUAAUAUUUUGGCCAAAAGCCAAGAGCGCAUUUUCUUUCAUUGCUUUUUACUUUUAUUUACAUAAUUAUGACGUUCGCGAAAAACUUUGUUAGAUUGUGAAAUAUACAUAUUUGUUUAAAUUCUGUUCACGUCGGUCGACCAUAGUUCGGGUUUGCGCGUCUACUUACGUACAUAUAAAAUUCGGAAAUUGGGAAGUAUCUGAAAGAGAUUGGGGAAAAACAAAGCGGAAAAAUAUAAAAAUUAUACAAACACUGGUGAAAAGCAAAUUUAAAUCCGUUUUGUUAUUUAAUUUUAAGGAAGCAUCAAUUGCAUUAUUGAGCUACUAUUAACUUUUUGUAAGCGUAUGUUAUUAAUUGGUAAGACGCCCUCGACGUCGUGUGCCAAUGUUUUCUUUCGUACAAAUGAACUUCAGCGCUCUAUCGGUACUUCUGUCAAGAGUGUGGACAUGCAUCUGUUUUAUGUUCAACAGACAAGUUCGCUCGAUUGUACAAUAUCAGCCAGUCAAAUAUGAACUAUUUC